GCAAGCCUUUUACAUGCAGUGGAGCCGCCGUAUCUCGCCGUUCAAGAUAUGCGUACUCGUAAGUGGCAUUUUAAUUUCACGUUGUGUAAUGCAUGACUGUCUUUUUCAAGUGAACAAAGGUCGCUUUGUAUUGUGUAAAUGGUUUUGCAACGUAUGAUAAACUCCUUGUCUUUCGGGCUUAUUUUUUCUGACAGGAAAAAAAAAAAAAAAAGAGGCUUUACAUGAGAACGGAUCAAGCGUUCGAGAGUUGGGACAGGGAAAUGAAACACUGGAACGACACUGCUUAAAUUGAAGCACAGUGUGCGAAUGACCUGCUACGCUCGGAACUGUUAUCACCAUUCGGGAAGAAAUUGGGUAAGAAUGGAUUGUGUGUGGCGCGCUUCACCGCAUGUGGACUAGAGUAGAUCUAGGAACAUCAGACAAGAAGACACGUAUGUGAAACCCUGCGGAUAGCCCAUAUGUGAACUUUUUUUCCAGAUACGGGGGAACGGACACCGGUCGUGCCGUGAGCACUAUUCUGCAGGGCAUACUUACAAAUGAAGCUGCACUGCAGUUCAGCUGGAAAGGGUCGCAGGGGAGGAAGCACGCCUUCGUGAAGCUCAUGGCCAUCACGAAUAUAACAUCUGUGAGGAGCACGUUCCCUGACGCUUCACUAGCAUCAGUGGCUGGAGUCGCAAAACGCCGGUUGGUUGGAGCAGCUGACAGGGAUGGAGGCCGGAAUGAAAGAAGGCGCCGUGACCCUGCUUCAAGCCCACCAAAUAUGAACUAGUGUUUGAAACUUGUGAACGUGUCGGUGUACAUAUACAAUUACAAGAAAUAAAGACCUGUAUC
rnacentral:misc_RNA from 1 species